AGUGAACGCUGGCGGUAGGCCUAACACAUGCAAGUCGAACGGCAGCACAGUAAGAGCUUGCUCUUACGGGUGGCGAGUGGCGGACGGGUGAGGAAUACAUCGGAAUCUACUUUUUCGUGGGGGAUAACGUAGGGAAACUUACGCUAAUACCGCAUACGACCUACGGGUGAAAGCAGGGGAUCUUCGGACCUUGCGCGAUUGAAUGAGCCGAUGUCGGAUUAGCUAGUUGGCGGGGUAAAGGCCCACCAAGGCGACGAUCCGUAGCUGGUCUGAGAGGAUGAUCAGCCACACUGGAACUGAGACACGGUCCAGACUCCUACGGGAGGCAGCAGUGGGGAAUGUUGGACAAUGGGCGCAAGCCUGAUCCAGCCAUACCGCGUAGGUGAAGAAGGCCUUCGGGUUGUAAAGCCCUUUUGUUGGGAAAGAAAAGCAGCAGGUUAAUACCCCGCUGUUCUGACGGUACCCAAAGAAUAAGCACCGGCUAACUUCGUG
rnacentral:rRNA from 1 species